GUGGGUAUAGUUCAGUGGCAGACCAUAUGCUUAGCAUGUAUGAGGUUCUGGGUCCAAUCCCCAGUACCUCCA
rnacentral:tRNA from 1 species